rnacentral:rRNA from 1 species
AUGAGUCAGCACAAGAAUGGAAACUUGACAGCAUUAGCUCGGGAAAGAUGCUGCUCACAGUUGAAUAAGUCUGGACUGGUACACCAGAGUAUUGCUAGGCGCACCUUGCCAGAGAAAUCAAGUCAAAUAGCAGAUUUCAGCAGAAAAAGGGUUACUCACAAGCCUCAUUUGCAAGAUGAGGAACUGUGGAAAAAGUAUGAGUUAGCUGCAAAAGCUAUGAGUGAUGAAGCUGAUACCAGCAAUGAUGGUGACAUGGGAAAUGAUAUGGAUGAUUUUCAUGGUGGUGCAAAUGGUGCAGAUGAAUUAAUGGGUAAUGAAAAUCUGGAAAGUGAAGAAUCCCAGGAUAGCCAUGGCUUUGCAGGUACCUCAAAGACCAGUAAGCACAACAAUGCAACUGAAUUAGUUGAUGAAAAUCUGGAAAAUGAAGAAGUGCAGGGUAACCAUGGCCUUACAGCUACGUCCAAGACUAGACCUCAAACAGGUGAAAAGCGCAGGGUCCGUGGGAAAAAUAAAUGCAAGGAAGUAGCUGAUCUCGUGGAGUCCCAAAAAAUUAAAGUCCAGUUUUACAAUAACCGUGCGCUUUCCAGAAGUUUUGCGCGACACUUGGGUAGAAUCGUCCGUAAUCCUAGAAUUACCCCGAUGAGGGUAAAGGAAUGGUCCAAUAUUACUGAUGCAGCUCGGAAACAUAUAUUUGAUGCAAAUAAGGACAAGUUCGAAAAUAUUGACGACAACAUUGCAAUAGAUGUGUACAAAGAUGAGAUAUUAGACCAUGUCAGGAAACUUUGGAUCAACUGGCGUGGAGACUUGCACCGGCAUUUUGUGAAACCCAACAAGACUAUGCAACAGGCUAUGAAAAAGAAAAAGAGCAAGAGAAACACCCAAAACAGAGCUAACCUCAAAAUGCUUCACCGAUCUGGCAGUAAACCCUUUAGACAGAUAAUUUGGGACAUGGGGGGAAAGGAAAACAAGCCAUCGAGUAUGGAUAAACUAUUUUCAGAGACACACAAGAAGGGUACAAACUUCCCUGAUUCUACAACCUCUGCCAAACAUAAAUGUGACACAUCUAAGCGGCAUGAUCGCGUAGUUGGAUUUGGUGGUGGAAUUAGAGCAAGAGAUUUGCGAGGACCAGCAUUAAGUAAGGCUGAAUUAGUUUCUCAACUUCAAGCUUCUGAGCAAGCGAAACAAGUACUCGAAGAAAAGGUCAAUGUCAUGGCGCAAGAAGUAUCAGAAAUUAAGCGUCUUCUAUCUGGUAGAUCUCUAACUGAUAGUUCUCAUGAACGCCAACAUGAUCAAGACUGA